AUUGAACGCUGGCGGCAGGCCUAACACAUGCAAGUCGAACGAGUGGCGGACGGGUGAGUAACGUCUGGGAAACUGCCCGAUGGAGGGGGAUAACUACUGGAAACGGUAGCUAAUACCGCCUACCAUCAGAUGUGCCCAGAUGGGAUUAGCUAGUUGGUGGGGUAACGGCUCACCAAGGCGACGACCCCUAGCUGGUCUGAGAGGCUGACCAGCCACACUGGGACUUAGACUCGGUCCAGUCUCCUACGGGAGGCAUGAGUGGGAAAUAUUGCACGUUGGGCGCAAGCCUGGUGCAGCAAAACCGCGAGUAUGAAGAAGGCCGGCGGAGUGGAAAAUACUAUCAACGGGGGGGCGAUACCCGCCGAAGAAGCGCCGGCUAACUCCGUGACAGCAGCCGCGGUAAUUC
rnacentral:rRNA from 1 species